rnacentral:misc_RNA from 1 species
GAUGAAGAACGAAGCGAAAUGCGAUAAGUAGUGUGAAUUGCAGAAUUCAGUGAAUCAUCGAAUCUUUGAACGCACAUUGCGCCCUUCGGUAUUCCGUCGGGCAUGCCUGUUCGAGCGUCAUUUCAACCCUCAAGCACUGCUUGGCGUUGGCGGAUUGCGUGCCCUCGCGGCGCUGCAACCGCCCAAAUACAGUGGCGGUCCCGCUGCGGCUCCCUUUGCGUAGUAACUCACCUCGCACUGGACCGGGCGGCGGCCUGCCGUAAAACCCCAACUCACGAAAUGUUGACCUCGGAUCAGGUAGGAAUACCCGCUGAACUUAAGCAUAUCAAUAAGCGGAGGA